rnacentral:lncRNA from 1 species
CGUCUUUCAAAACUUCACUUUCUAAUGAGGCUCCCUCAGAGGAAUGUUUAGCAAUCCCUUCAAGUGUUAGGACUCCCAGGGACUGAGGUGGCUCUGUACCCAUCAGGGAGUCUCAGACCUCAUUUCCAGCGUGAUGAAGGCUCAGAUGAAGAGUUCCAAGAACAGAUGGGAGGCUGUCAUUACACGUUACUGAUACACAGAGCUGCUUCAGCCUCACGCAUGCCAG